rnacentral:ribozyme from 1 species
UAUGGACGAAGCUGCUAAUGCCUCUAUGUGCAACGAAAGCAACAGCGACCCGUUUAGUUCUUCUUUGACAGGAAGAUGCACUUUGCGCUCAGCGGUGGCAGCUUGUGAGUUGCUCUUGAUA